rnacentral:rRNA from 1 species
UACAGAGGUGGCAAGCGUUGUUCGGAAUUACUGGGCGUAAAGGGCGCGUAGGCGGUCUUCUAAGUCUUGUGUGAAAUCCCUCGGCUCAACUGAGGAACUGCACGGGAUACUGGAUGACUUGAGUUCGGGAGAGGGAUGCAGAAUUCCAGGUGUAGCGGUGAAAUGCGCAGAUAUCAGGAGGAACACCGGUGGCGAAGGCGGGUCUCUGGGCCGAUACUGACGCUGAGGAGCGAAAGCGUGGGGAGCGAACAGG